AACCAUAGAAACCUGCGGAGUACCUGCGGCAGGAUCAUUACAGAGUUGCAAAACUCCCUAAACCAUUGUGAACGUUACCUAAACCGUUGCUUCGGCGGGCGGCCCGGGUCCUUCCCGGCGCCCCUCGGCCCUCGCGGGCGCCCGCCGGAGGUAAACCAAACUAUUGCAUUGUAUGGCCUCUCUGAGUCUUCUGUACUGAAUAAGUCAAAACUUUCAACAAUGGAUCUCAGAUCGGAAGAG
rnacentral:misc_RNA from 1 species